rnacentral:rRNA from 1 species
UCGAACGAACUCUGGUAUUGAUUGGUGCUUGCAUCAUGAUUUACAUUUGAGUGAGUGGCGAACUGGUGAGUAACACGUGGGAAACCUGCCCAGAAGCGGGGGAUAACACCUGGAAACAGAUGCUAAUACCGCAUAACAACUUGGACCGCAUGGUCCGAGUUUGAAAGAUGGCUUCGGCUAUCACUUUUGGAUGGUCCCGCGGCGUAUUAGCUAGAUGGUGAGGYAACGGCUCACCAUGGCAAUGAUACGUAGCCGACCUGAGAGGGUAAUCGGCCACAUUGGGACUGAGACACGGCCCAAACUCCURCGGGAGGCAGCAGUAGGGAAUCUUCCACAAUGGACGAAAGUCUGAUGGAGCAACGCCGCGUGAGUGAAGAAGGGUUUCGGCUCGUAAAACUCUGUUGUUAAAGAAGAACAUAUCUGAGAGUAACUGUUCAGGUAUUGACGGUAUUUAACCAGAAAGCCACGGCUAACUACGUGCCAGCAGCCGCGGUAAUACGUAGGUGGCAAGCGUUGUCCGGAUUUAUUGGGCGUAAAGCGAGCGCAGGCGGUUUUUUAAGUCUGAUGUGAAAGCCUUCGGCUCAACCGAAGAAGUGCAUCGGAAACUGGGAAACUUGAGUGCAGAAGAGGACAGUGGAACUCCAUGUGUAGCGGUGAAAUGCGUAGAUAUAUGGAAGAACACCAGUGGCGAAGGCGGCUGUCUGGUCUGUAACUGACGCUGAGGCUCGAAAGUAUGGGUAGCAAACAGGAUUAGAUACCCUGGUAGUCCAUACCGUAAACGAUGAAUGCUAAGUGUUGGAGGGUUUCCGCCCUUCAGUGCUGCAGCUAACGCAUUAAGCAUUCCGCCUGGGGAGUACGGCCGCAAGGCUGAAACUCAAAGGAAUUGACGGGGGCCCGCACAAGCGGUGGAGCAUGUGGUUUAAUUCGAAGCUACGCGAAGAACCUUACCAGGUCUUGACAUACUAUGCAAAUCUAAGAGAUUAGACGUUCCCUUCGGGGACAUGGAUACAGGUGGUGCAUGGUUGUCGUCAGCUCGUGUCGUGAGAUGUUGGGUUAAGUCCCGCAACGAGCGCAACCCUUAUUAUCAGUUGCCAGC